rnacentral:rRNA from 1 species
AUUGAACGCUGGCGGCAUGCCUAACACAUGCAAGUCGAACGGAGAUAGGGGCAACCUUAUUUCAGUGGCGGACGGGUGAGGAAUGCGUCGGAAUCUGCCCUAUGGUGGGGGAUAACACAGGGAAACUUGUGCUAAUACCGCAUAAUGUCGAGAGACCAAAGCAGGGGACCGCAAGGCCUUGCGCGAUAGGAUGAGCCGACGCCCGAUUAGCUAGUUGGUAGGGUAAAGGCCUACCAAGGCGACGAUCGGUAGCUGGUCUGAGAGGAUGAUCAGCCACACUGGGACUGAGACACGGCCCAGACUCCUACGGGAGGCAGCAGUGGGGAAUAUUGGACAAUGGGCGCAAGCCUGAUCCAGCAAUGCCGCGUGUGUGAAGAAGGCCUGCGGGUUGUAAAGCACUUUUGUUCGGGAAGAAAUCAUGCUGGUUAAUACCUGGUAUGGAUGACGGUACCGAAGAAUAAGCACCGGCUAACUUCGUGCCAGCA